rfam:Fusarium graminearum chromosome 2, complete genome
GGGCGAAUGGUUUAGUGGUAUAAUACUCCCUUAGCAUGAUUCGUUCAACCAACGAUGUCUGAUCUGGGAGUGGUCCAGGGUUCGAUUCCCUGUUCGUCCA